CCACGCUGUAAACGAUGGGCACUAGGUGUGGGGGGUGUCGACUCCCUCCGUGCCGAAGCUAACGCAUUAAGUGCCCCGCCUGGGGAGUACGGCCGCAAGGCUAAAACUCAAAGGAAUUGACGGGGGCCCGCACAAGCAGCGGAGCAUGUGGUUUAAUUCGACGCAACGCGAAGAACCUUACCUGGGCUUGACAUGUAGGUCGUACCCGUGGAAACACGGGGUCAGUUCGGCUGGACCUUCACAGGUGGUGCAUGGCUGU
rnacentral:rRNA from 1 species